AUGAGGCGCGCGAUCUGGGAGCGCUUGAUGCCGAGAUCCGUGAGCUCGGCGACGCGCUUGGACAGGUUCAGCUCCACAUCGGCGCAGAGGAACUGCGGGUCGGCGGCGACGAUGGCGGCGGUGGUUGAGGGGGAGAUGCCGAGCGCGGCGAGGAAGGCGAGGACGGCGUCGAUCUUGGAGGGGGACUUGAGGUGGGCGAGCUUCUUGGACGCCUUGCGCGCCUUGGGCCGGGAGAGGCCGCAGGUGGUGACGAGGUAG
rnacentral:rRNA from 1 species